rnacentral:tRNA from 1 species
GCGCCUGUAGCUCAGUUGGAUAGAGCAGCGGCCUUCUAAGCCGCGGGUCGGGGGUUCGACUCCCUCCAGGCGCGCCA